ensembl:lncRNA
GAUGAACGAGGACACAGUUUGGUGAGACUCCCACAGCAGAGGCCGUGCACACAUUUACUGUGAAAUGACAAUGAAACAACAGGAUGCCCA